UCCUACGGGGGGCAGCAGUAGGGAAUUUUCGUCAAUGGGCGCAAGCCUGAACGAGCAAUGCCGCGUGAACGAGGAAGGUCUUCGGAUCGUAAAGUUAUGUUGAAGGGGAAAAAGAGCGGAGAGAGGAAAUGGUCUCCGAUUGAUAUUACCCUUCGAGGAAGUCACGGCUAACUACGUGCCAGCAGCCGCGGUAAUACGUAGGUGGCGAGCGUUAUCCGGAAUGAUGGGGCGUAAAGUGUGCGUAGGGGGC
rnacentral:rRNA from 1 species